rnacentral:rRNA from 1 species
UACGGGGGGAGCAAGCGUUGUUCGGAUUUACUGGGCGUAAAGGGCGCGUAGGCGGUCGGUGACAAGUCACUUGUGAAAUCUCCGGGCUUAACUCGGAACGGUCAAGUGAUACUGUCGGACUAGAGUACAGAAGGGGCAACUGGAAUUCUCGGUGUAGCGGUGAAAUGCGUAGAUAUUAGGAAGAACACCAGUGGCGAAGGCGGCUCACUGGCCCGGUACUGACGCUGAGGCGACGAAAGCGUGGGGAGCAAACAGG